AUUGUUAGUGGCAGACGGGUGAGUAAUGCGUAGGAAUCUACCUAGUACUACGGAAUAGCCAUUAUAAAUGGUGGGUAAUACUGUAUAAUCCCCGAGGGGGAAAGAUUUAUCGCUAUUAGAUGAGCCUACGUUAGAUUAGCUAGUUGGUGAGGUAAUGGCUUACCAAGGCUAUGAUCUAUAGCUGGUCUGAGAGGACGAUCAGCCACACUGGAACUGAGAUACGGUCCAGACUCCUACGGGAGGCAGCAGUGGGGAAUAUUGGACAAUGGGCGAAAGCCUGAUCCAGGUAUGCCGCGUGAGUGAAGAAGGCCUUCGGGUUGUAAAACUCUUUC
rnacentral:rRNA from 1 species